UACGGAGACAUGAAGGGUACACGGUGGAUGCCUUGGCUUGUGACCAGCGAUGAAGGACGCGGCUAAUCUGCGAUAAGCUUCGGGGAGGCGAUUUGCUGCCUUUGAUCCGGAGAUUUCCGAAUGGGGAAACCCGCCCGUAUAUCGGGUAUCCAUAGAGUAACGUCUUUGGAGGCGCACCUCGGGAAGUGAAACAUCUCAGUACCGAGAGGAAUAGAGAACAAUAGCGAAU
rnacentral:rRNA from 1 species